UUGAGGAAGCUCUGUAACUUCCGAUUGUACAGGAACCUCCUCUGGUUGCUUCAAUGGACUGAAAUCAAUGGAACAGUAACCGGAUCUUCAUCACUGGUAAUAGCUUGUGGUGGAUUGAUUUUUGAGAUGAUGCGAUCGAUUGUUGCAAUUGGUAUUUUACGUGGCCUACCCCUACCUCGACCUCUUCCUCUUGCCAUGGAAA
rnacentral:lncRNA from 1 species